rfam:Brassica napus, WGS project CCCW01000000 data, contig: 10794
GGAAUAUAAAAACCCGUUUCUUAAUUUUUAACUAAAAAAGCUAAGAACUGUUUAUUAAAUAAGAGUUUUAAGAGUUAAUUCUUAACUUUUUUAAGUUCAAAGUUAAGAGACGGGUUCUUAUAUUUC